rnacentral:rRNA from 1 species
UACGUAGGGGGCGAGCGUUGUCCGGAUUUAUUGGGCGUAAAGAGCUCGUAGGCGGUUGGGCAAGUCACGUGUGAAAUCUCCACGCUCAACGUGGAGGCGCCACGUGAGACUGCCCUGACUCGAGUCCGGUAGGGGAGCGUGGAAUUCCCGGUGUAGCGGUGAAAUGCGCAGAGAUCGGGAGGAACACCCGUAGCGAAGGCGGCGCUCUGGGCCGGUACUGACGCUGAGGAGCGAAAGCGUGGGGAGCAAACAGG